GACGAACGCUGGCGGCGUGCUUAACACAUGCAAGUCGAACGGAAAGGCCCUGCUUUUGUGGGGUGCUCGAGUGGCGAACGGGUGAGUAACACGUGAGUAACCUGCCCUUGACUUUGGGAUAACUUCAGGAAACUGGGGCUAAUACCGGAUAGGAGCUCCUGCUGCAUGGUGGGGGUUGGAAAGUUUCGGCGGUUGGGGAUGGACUCGCGGCUUAUCAGCUUGUUGGUGGGGUGGUGGCUUACCAAGGCUUUGACGGGUAGCCGGCCUGGGAGGGUGACCGGCCACAUUGGGACUGAGAUACGGCCCAGACUCCUACGGGAGGCAGCAGUGGGGAAUAUUGCACAAUGGGCGGAAGCCUGAUGCAACAACGCCGCGUGCGGGAUGACGGCCUUCGGGUUGUAAACCGCUUUCGCCUGUGACGAAGCGUGAGUGACGGUAAUGGGUAAAGAAGCACCGGCUAACUACGUG
rnacentral:rRNA from 1 species